rnacentral:tRNA from 1 species
GAGGGUAUAGCUCAGGUGGUAGAACGCAUGCUUUGCAUGCAUGAGGUCCCAGGUUCAAUCCCCAGUACCUCA